rnacentral:rRNA from 1 species
CCUACGGGUGGCAGCAGUGAGGAAUAUUGGUCAAUGGCCGAGAGGCUGAACCAGCCAAGUCGCGUGAGGGAAGACGGCCCUACGGGUUGUAAACCUCUUUUGUCGGGGAGCAAAGCGAACCACGUGUGGUUCAUUGAGAGUACCCGAAGAAACAGCCUCGGCUAACUCCGUGCCAGCAGCCGCGGUAAUACGGAGGAUGCGAGCGUUAUCCGGAUUUAUUGGGUUUAAAGGGUGCGCAGGCGGAGGUGCAAGUCAGCGGUAAAAUUGCGGGGCUCAACCCCGUACUGCCGUUGAAACUGCAAUCCUUGAGUGAGAGAGAAGGAUGCGGAAUGCGGGGUGUAGCGGUGAAAUGCAUAGAUAUCACGCAGAACUCCGAUUGCGAAGGCAACAUACCGGCGCGCAACUGACGCUCAUGCACGAAAGCGUGGGUAUCGAACAGGAUGAGAUACCCGAGUAGUC